UCAAGAUGCUUGUGCGCUCUCACUCACGCUUGUGCGCCCUAAUUCCCGGAUUUCUCUCAAGACGCUUGUGCGCCCUAAUUCCCGAAUUCUCUCAAGAGAGCGUGUGUGCCCUAACUCCCGACAAACCUCACUCCUGCAGCCACCACGCCCCACCGUGCCGCUAACUCUCGACAAACCCAGCAUCCCAACGCAGUCUCUCUCAAGAGAGCGAUCCCCUUGCGGCUCCGCAGCCAUUACCCACUUCUCCACUCGUUGCUCCACUGAGAAGUUAGCAAAGAAGAUCUGAUACCACCUGUACCUCCUCUCACUCGUUAUAGAAAGGAAGUUGGAAUCAGGGCUUUUGUAGCAGAUCUCAGAUCAACUGAGGAGAGGAGAUCUCAUCAAGCAGUGGAUCUUAGAUUGAGUGAUGAACGAUUUCAUCAAAUUGAUGCACUUUCUACUCAAAGCCUUUGUGUGCGCUUAAACACACUAUAUUAUGCCAUUACUCAUCUAAGUAAGCUGGAAGACAACAUUCAUGAGCGAUGGAUAAGGAAAAAACAUGAGAAUUCCAACAUUA